rnacentral:rRNA from 1 species
ACAGCAGCCGCCACGGUAAUACAGAGGGUGCGAGCGUUAAUCGGAUUUACUGGGCGUAAAGCGUGCGUAGGCGGCUUUUUAAGUCGGAUGUGAAAUCCCUGAGCUUAACUUAGGAAUUGCAUUCGAUACUGGGAAGCUAGAGUAUGGGAGAGGAUGGUAGAAUUCCAGGUGUAGCGGUGAAAUGCGUAGAGAUCUGGAGGAAUACCGAUGGCGAAGGCAGCCAUCUGGCCUAAUACUGACGCUGAGGUACGAAAGCAUGGGGAGCAAACAGGAUUAGAUACCCCAGUAGUCCCUGUCUCUUAUAC